CCCCCCAUCAAAUUCAAAUUCCCAAAUUUAUAAAACUACCAACAAAUUUCCAAUUUCUUGCCUAAAAAGACGAAAAACUAAACCAUAAGCAAACUUUAAUCCACUGAAUUCCCCCUUCAAUAAUCCCACAAAUUUGAAAAAUCCACUGAAAUUCUCCAACUUUCAGAUCCAAAACCUCAGCAAAAAAACCCCAAAACACGUGAAUAUUCAAAAACAUGCAAGCCAAAUCAGCUAAAAAUUGCACACCGAAGUUAAGCCGAGAGUCGCUACCCAAAAAAAA
rnacentral:misc_RNA from 1 species